GCGUAAAGCGCACGCAGGCGGUCUGUCAAGUCGGAUGUGAAAUCCCCGGGCUCAACCUGGGAACUGCAUUCGAAACUGGCAGGCUUGAGUCUUGUAGAGGGGGGUAGAAUUCCAGGUGUAGCGGUGAAAUGCGUAGAGAUCUGGAGGAAUACCGGUGGCGAAGGCGGCCCCCUGGACAAAGACUGACGCUCAGGUGCGAAAGCGUGGGGAGCAAACAGGAUUAGAUACCCUGGUAGUCCACGCCGUAAACGAUGUCUACUUGGAGGUUGUGCCCUUGAGGCGUGGCUUCCGGAGCUAACGCGUUAAGUAGACCGCCUGGGGAGUACGGCCGCAAGGUUAAAACUCAAAUGAAUUGACGGGGGCCCGCACAAGCGGUGGAGCAUGUGGUUUAAUUCGAUGCAACGCGAAGAACCUUACCUGGUCUUGACAUCCACGGAAGUUUUCAGAGAUGAGAAUGUGCCUUCGGGAACCGUGAGACAGGUGCUGCAUGGCUGUCGUCAGCUCGUGUUGUGAAAUGUUGGGUUAAGUCCCGCAACGAGCGCAACCCUUAUCCUUUGUUGCCAGCGAUUAGGUCGGGAACUCAAAGGAGACU
rnacentral:rRNA from 1 species